rnacentral:rRNA from 1 species
UUAAGCAUAUCAAUAAGCGGAGGAAAAGAAACCAACAGGGAUUGCCUCAGUAACGGCGAGUGAAGCGGCAACAGCUCAAAUUUGAAAUCUGGCUCUCGGGCCCGAGUUGUAAUUUGUAGAGGAUGUUUCGAGCAUGGUCUGGCCUAAGUUCCUUGGAACAGGACGUCAUAGAGGGUGAGAAUCCCGUAUGCGGUCAGGUGCCUACGCUCAUGUGAAACUCCUUCGACGAGUCGAGUUGUUUGGGAAUGCAGCUCAAAAUGGGAGGUAAAUUUCUUCUAAAGCUAAAUAUUGGCCAGAGACCGAUAGCGCACAAGUAGAGUGAUCGAAAGAUGAAAAGCACUUUGGAAAGAGAGUUAAACAGUACGUGAAAUUGUUGAAAGGGAAGCGCUUGCAACCAGACUUGCACGCAGCUGAUCAUCCGGGCUUCUGCCCGGUGCACUCGGUUGUGUUCAGGCCAGCAUCAGUUUUGGGGGUGGGAUAAAGGCCCUAGGAAUGUAGCUCCUCUCGGGGAGUGUUAUAGCCUAGGGUGCAAUGCCACCACCCGGGACUGAGGACCGCGCUUCGGCUAGGAUGCUGGCGUAAUGGUUGUAAGCGACCCGUCUUGAAACACGGACCAAGGAGUCUAACAUCUAUGCGAGUGUUUGGGUGUCAAACCCAUACGCGUAAUGAAAGUGAACGGAGGUGAGAACCCUUAAGGGUGCAUCAUCGACCGGUCCUGAAGUCUUCGGAUGGAUCUGAGUAAGAGCAUAGCUGUUGGGACCCGAAAGAUGGUGAACUAUGCCUGAAUAGGGUGAAGCCAGAGGAAACUCUGGUGGAGGCUCGCAGCGGUUCUGACGUGCAAAUCGAUCGUCAAAUUUGGGUAU